GUAUGUUCGGAUCAUGUGAUUUUGAAACGGAAAGAUGAUUUAAAAUGGUUGAUCCCCACUAUACCACGACCUAAAGGUCAUGACGCAUGCGUACUUGUGAAAAGAUUUCUGGUGAAUUCACUUCCGGAUUUGGAAGCUACAGGUACGGUGUCCGGAUUUCUGCGGAAUGGGGGACGUGCUGGACGAGAUGGGCGGUCCGGAAACCGGAACGUUAGUGGAGGGGUUCGGGGAUGAGCUGGUGUACAUCAGCGUAAUGGUGGGUGUGAUGAUGGUGUCGAUAGGAUCCGUGCUGUACAGAUGGAACCAACAGCAGGCCAUGGGAACGACCAUCCACCCUGACCACAGGACGCGUAUCCUGGAGGCACGGCAGCAGCUGGGAUUGGACGACACUCAGGGCGACAGGCAGCCCAGGUUCACCAACAACGGGCAGUGUCCCAUCUGUAUGGAGAGCACCAACUUUGCUGUGGAAACAAACUGUGGACAUGUCUUCUGUGCCAACUGUAUUCUGAUGUACUGGAGACACGGGAGGUGGCUGGGAGCAGUGGGCUGUCCUGUCUGCAGACAAACGGUGACUCUGUUGUUACCUCUGUUUACUGAAGCAGAGAAUGGCUCAGAUGACUUGGUACAGGUCGCUGGAGAGAUAAACGCUUACAACAGAAGAUACUCUGGGGAACCCAGGCCGCUGCUGGAUUACCUGUAUGACCUUCCGACCUUGCUACGCCAUGCCUUUGUUGAGCUGUUCACCGUCGGAGGGCUGGUCAUGAUGUUUCGUGUACGCGUGUUUCUCAUUCUGCUCGGUGCCAUAUUGUACUUCAUCUCACCACUAGACAUCAUCCCAGAGGGCGCGUUUGGUAUUCUGGGGCUGGUGGAUGAUGUUUUUGUCAUCCUCGUGUUGCUGAUCUACGUGUCAAUCAUGUACAGGACCUUCGUGGCCAAUAGAGGAGAGUUGGGUCUGGGAGAGGAUGCGGAGUGAACCAUUGAACCAUAAUAUGGUUAUGGGGAGGGACAGGGUUGACAAGUAGAGGGUACAUGGCAAUUAUGUGCAGGACCUUACUGGCCAGCAGGGGAGAACCAUUUAUGUUAUUACUUGGGAAGGGAAAGGAGUAAUCACAUUACUCAGUUGUUUACUACUAACUUUGUGGCUAACAGGAGAGAGAUGAAGGGGAUGGACCAUGUAAGAUUUUGUAUGGGGAGGGGCAGGGUGAAGGAAAAAAGAAACUUUUUUUAUAAGUCAUAAGGUAAAUGAGGAGGUAAAAGCCACACUGAAGUCGUUGUGCCAAAUGAAUGAUUGACAGAAGAGGAGAAAAAAAGCAAUGGCCGAACAAUUUACAUCAUCUGUGGAGAGGACAACCAAAGAAGACUUUUGGUUGGCUCCAGUAAACUUCAUCUGCAAGGUAAUGCCCUAUAAGAAAAGAAAAAGAAACAGAAGAGACAGCAUGUUUGACAGUGUAUAUACCAGUAGUACCUGAAUACUGUACAAUUACAACAA